CUGAGAUUCCCUUGUCUGUGCAUCUCUUGAAGGUACAGGAGACCUGAUCCCUUUCCUAUAUGGAUGGAUCUAGCAACAUAGUAAUGAAGAAUUCUGGUUAACAUUUUUAAAUUUAAAAGAGUUGCCUGGGUACUGCAGAAGAAAGAGAAGGCCCCUCUGGUCUUUUCCAUCAACCAGAAGGCUAAGAUCUACUGGGAGAUUGUACCCCCUGACUUCUGAAUAGAACAUUGUGGCCUGAUUACAUCCAUCAGCCAAGGAAGGAACAGCUAUCGUAAGCCUGUCCCCCCACCACCUCCUCUCUGAUCCAAUUUCAAGUUGUUUGGGGCCUGCAGAAAGAAAGGGAAGCUCCCUCUUAUUUCUGUUUUAAUUGUAAUUUUUAAAAUGCUAUGUUAGCCAUGGUUGUUGCAAAUGGUGGGGUAUAAAUUGAAUAAAUACAUACAUAAAUUUGAUAAA